GGAUUGUGGCUCAGUGGUAGUGCACUUGCCUAGCAUGCAUGAGGCACUGGGUUCAAUUCUAAGCACCA
rnacentral:tRNA from 1 species